AACGUAUUGUUCAAUUAACUGAACACAAUUUAACUUGUGUUUCUUGUAUUAUUUCAGAAUAAUGACCCUACACGAUCUUUUGUGGACCAAGCCCCCGACUCCUUACCACAGACCCCCAGUUAUCCACCUGUGCGUGGUGGCGCUCGUGGAGCAGCGCAAGGAUGUCGCUUGGGAGUUUGACUCCACUGGCGCGAGACCGGUGACAAUCAAAAACAACGUCUUGGCAUCGGUGUCGGACGGGAAGACGGUGGCCAAAUUUACGGCCUACGGAGAAUUUGCCCACAAAUUUAAAGCGGGCGGGCAUUACAUGCUGCGGGGGCAUUCCCUGAGAGGGCAGUCUCCCCCGUACAUGAUUAAUAUCACCAAGGAGACGGUGUUUUAGGAGGAGCGCUCCUCUCACCGUCUCCCAAGAGCUCAGAGCGCAGGCGGAGGCUUUAAUCCGUCCCCCGUCCCUGCAGGGACGCCAAGGACCUCCUGACUGUGCAGGGGGAAGUGGUCGAAAUGUCCACGGUGAAAAAGAUCACCAAGGGAAGGGAGAGCUUCCCGAUGCGCCACAUCAAGCUGCAGCAGGGGGAAACGCAAAUGCCGGUGUGUCUGUGGAGGGAGGCAGCGGUGGAAAAGAAGCUCCAGAUCGGGACGCACGUAGAGAUUUCCCAUCUCAAAGCCACCAGCUCGGACUACGGAGAACAACUCCAAUCCACGCCGUUCACACUCGUCGAGGAGCUCAACUCAGACAGCGUGGUGGGUGUGAUCGGGGUCGUGGACCUUGAGGGCGAGCCAGGCCCCAACAUGCUGCUGGAGGACGGCCGGACGGUCCUCAUCGAGGAGGGACUGUGGAAAAAGGUGGAGGACCAGUUUAUUGAAUCGCCACUAAGGGCAGCAGUGCAGCUGAUGGGAAAUAGAGUCACGUCUAUUGACACCAUUAAAUAAAGUUGCUGUAUUCUUAGCUUGUUAUUUUUGUAUUUUUCCUGUAUAUAUUGUUCUGUUGUGUUAAUAAACUGCUUAAAGUACAACUCAACCUUUGCUGUGCAUUGUUUCACGUAAACUUACUUUUUGAUUUGAAAUGCUGUGAUUUAUAUUAGAUGUUUAUAAUAGAAAUGCGUCUGAGUCAAGCCGGUUCUGCAAAGAAUGUUGGAGAAACAAACGAAAGGCUCCUUUCACAGGCCCAGCUCUCCUCUAACACAGUAUGAAGGCCUCUGCGCCCCCUGAAAAUAGAUUGAAGCACCACAUUAAUAUAAUAAUACAUCUACCGGGCUCUAGAUGGGAAGUUGUAUUAUAAGCCUGUUCAUUUAUGCAUUCACACAGUUAACAGUUGUAUUGGUAACAGCCAACAAACAAUCAGUUUUUUCUUGGUUGAUUCUCUUGUUGUAAUGAGUAGAGUUUACGUUUAUCUUUAUUUAGUUUAAUCUAAGGCCCUGUCUCCAAAUAGCAGCCAAAGGACUCUGGGCAGCGCUUCAACAGAGUGUUUUAAGUAAAAAGAGUUUCUAAACACCGCCUGAAAAAUCCUGAUCGUCUGUGGUUGAUAUGCCAAUUGAUGGCACUGCUGCUGAACUGUCAACUGUUGCCAUUUUUACCUGUGCAUUAGUCAUUUUAAAUUCUGCUAUUGUGUUCAAUUUAAAAUAAGGGAGAAAGAGGGAGGUAAAGAGAUGAGAAAAAUAGAGAGAAAGAAAGUCAGAAAUUAAGAGGAAAUCACACACAGAGAUACUGCAGCGUGUGCGCGAGUAACCACAGCAACGGCGCACCUGUGCUCAUUAACGAGCUGCUGCAAAGGGCAGAGACAGGACAGCGAGUUACACAG
ensembl:lncRNA